GCUGGGGUUGUGGCCAGUGGUAGAGCACUUGCCUAGCAUGUAUAGGGGCACUGGGUUCGAUUCUCAGCACAGCA
rnacentral:tRNA from 1 species